UUCGAUUAGAGUUUGAUCAUGGCUCAGGAUGAACGCUGGCGGCGUGCCUAAUACAUGCAAGUCGAGCGAACGGACGAGAAGCUUGCUUCUCUGAUGUUAGCGGCGGACGGGUGAGUAACACGUGGAUAACCUACCUAUAAGACUGGGAUAACUUCGGGAAACCGGAGCUAAUACCGGAUAAUAUUCUGAACCGCAUGGUUCAAAAGUGAAAGACGGUCUUGCUGUCACUUAUAGAUGGAUCCGCGCUGCAUUAGCUAGUUGGUAAGGUAACGGCUUACCAAGGCAACGAUGCAUAGCCGACCUGAGAGGGUGAUCGGCCACACUGGAACUGAGACACGGUCCAGACUCCUACGGGAGGCAGCAGUAGGGAAUCUUCCGCAAUGGGCGAAAGCCUGACGGAGCAACGCCGCGUGAGUGAUGAAGGUCUUCGGAUCGUAAAACUCUGUUAUUAGGGAAGAACAUAUGUGUAAGUAACUGUGCACAUCUUGACGGUACCUAAUCAGAAAGCCACGGCUAACUACGUGCCAGCAGCCGCGGUAAUACGUAGGUGGCAAGCGUUAUCCGGAAUUAUUGGGCGUAAAGCGCGCGUAGGCGGUUUUUUAAGUCUGAUGUGAAAGCCCACGGCUCAACCGUGGAGGGUCAUUGGAAACUGGAAAACUUGAGUGCAGAAGAGGAAAGUGGAAUUCCAUGUGUAGCGGUGAAAUGCGCAGAGAUAUGGAGGAACACCAGUGGCGAAGGCGACUUUCUGGUCUGUAACUGACGCUGAUGUGCGAAAGCGUGGGGAUCAAACAGGAUUAGAUACCCUGGUAGUCCACGCCGUAAACGAUGAGUGCUAAGUGUUAGGGGGUUUCCGCCCCUUAGUGCUGCAGCUAACGCAUUAAGCACUCCGCCUGGGGAGUACGACCGCAAGGUUGAAACUCAAAGGAAUUGACGGGGACCCGCACAAGCGGUGGAGCAUGUGGUUUAAUUCGAAGCAACGCGAAGAACCUUACCAAAUCUUGACAUCCUUUGACAACUCUAGAGAUAGAGCCUUCCCCUUCGGGGGACAAAGUGACAGGUGGUGCAUGGUUGUCGUCAGCUCGUGUCGUGAGAUGUUGGGUUAAGUCCCGCAACGAGCGCAACCCUUAAGCUUAGUUGCCAUCAUUAAGUUGGGCACUCUAAGUUGACUGCCGGUGACAAACCGGAGGAAGGUGGGGAUGACGUCAAAUCAUCAUGCCCCUUAUGAUUUGGGCUACACACGUGCUACAAUGGACAAUACAAAGGGCAGCGAAACCGCGAGGUCAAGCAAAUCCCAUAAAGUUGUUCUCAGUUCGGAUUGUAGUCUGCA
rnacentral:rRNA from 1 species